CGGGAAGGGCCUCCGCCGCCGCCGUCACCGCCGCCGUCGCCCCGCGAGCUCCCGCCGGGCCCGGGGCUGGGGCCGCCGCCGCUGUCCAUGGGCUCGUAGCCGCCGUAGUCGAGGCCCGGCCGCUCGUUGAGGCGGUAAGGAAGGGGCUGCGCCGCGGAGCGUCUCUACGGUGAAAGGGACGCCGUAAGGGCCAGGCGGAGGCGAGGGAGGGUUCUUCGCCGUCGCCGCGGCCGCCCGCCCAUUCCUCCAGCAACAGGUUUCCGCGGCAGGGGCGGGAGCAAAGUGCAACGCGCUGCGCGGAACGUCGCCGAGGUACCCGAGCUGGCGAUCCUGCCGGGCGCUGACGGCGGUUCCCCCCGAACCUCGCUGGAGUCCCCGCCGGACUCCAGCUCCCGGACUUGCUCGCCCCGGCGCGGCCCGGACUGCGCCCCAGCCUAAACGCAGUGCGCUCGGCGGCUACUGUAACCCACCCCAAACCUGGCCUGACUUGCACCACGGUCCUGAAAGAAAUCCUCCAGCCACGCUGCCUGACAUACCCUUCAGCACCCACUUAAAUUCAUGCCCAAAGCAGGCAAACCAGCCCACCCGGGCUGAAAUGCACCCCCCCACAUACUCUUGACCUAAAUCCCUCCAACUUUCGCUGAAAUCACCCUAAACUGGCUGAAGUGAAUUCCCAGCCCUCCUUGAAUUUUCCUUCCAGCAUUGACUGACCACCACCUACCCCCAGCCAACCUGACUGGGCUCUACCAAACUCAUGCAAAAAUCCCCUGAGAGUCCGAAACAUAUUUUUACAACCGGAACUCCAAAUCCCAGUGCUGUCUGAAAACCUCCAAAAACUCCUGACUGCAUCA